AUGCAAAGAUGGAGCAAGGGCCGACUGGAGUCACACUGACAUCCACCCCCAUAACAUGGGGACAGAUCAAGAAAACAAAGCAGGAAGCUGAGAAAAUGCUGGAGCAUCCAUGUGCUUGGCCAUGUUAGCAGUAGUGUCCUGUGAGAUGUUGAAGGAUGGGCUGGAUUGACUUGGAACCUUGUUUCAGCAGAGCCCACGUGUUCAUGAAGAAAACAUUUGCUCACAGCUUAUUUCUACCACUGCCUCUCUUUCAGUGUUUUAAAAACCUAUAGCUAUGUGUUCACAAUUGUUUUUAUUUUGAAUGUAUUACUGUCAUUUUUCUGGGAAAAUAUUUACAUGUUUAGGAUUCGUGCCAUCAGAAUUUUGGACAUUGAAAGAGACAUUUCUUUUGCUUGGGGAUAUAAAAGAUGGUCCUGGAAUAUUUUUCCUUUUUUUGAAAUGGAGUGUUACUCUGUCACCCAUGCUUAAGUACAGUGGCACGAUCUUGGCUCACAGCAACCUCUGCCUCUGAGGCCCAAGUGAUCCCCCCCAGUCAGCCUGCCAAAUAGCUGGGACCACAGAUGCAC
rnacentral:lncRNA from 10 species